rnacentral:rRNA from 1 species
CCUACGGGAGGCAGCAGUAAGGAAUAUUGGUCAAUGGGCGCAAGCCUGAACCAGCCAUGCCGCGUGCAGGAAGACGGCCCUAUGGGUUGUAAACUGCUUUUGAACAAGAGAAAACCUCGGUACGUGUACCGAGCUGAUAGUAUUGUUAGAAUAAGCAUCGGCUAACUUCGUGCCAGCAGCCGCGGUAAGACGAAGGAUGCAAGCGUUAUCCGGAUUCAUUGGGUUUAAAGGGUGCGUAGGCGGCCUGAUAAGUCAGUGGUGAAAUCUCUCAGCUUAACUGAGAAACUGCCAUUGAUACUGUCGGGCUUGAGUACAGAUGAUGUGGGCGGAAUAUGACAUGUAGUGGUGAAAUACUUAGAUAUGUCAUAGAACACCGAUUGCGAAGGCAGCUCACAAAACUGUAACUGACGCUGAGGCACGAAAGUGCGGGGAUCAAACAGGAUUAGAUACCCUGGUAGUCCGCACCGUAAACGAUGAUUACUCGUUGUUGGCAAUAUGACCGUCAGCGACCAAGCGAAAGCGAUAAGAAUCCACCUGGGGAGUACGCCGGCAACGGUUGAAACGUCAAAGGAAUUGACGGGCNGAGAGNGCGACGACGACACGAGGGAGGAGG